rnacentral:rRNA from 1 species
UACGUAGGGGGCAAGCGUUGUCCGGAUUUAUUGGGCGUAAAGAGCGUGUAGGCGGUUUGGUAGGUCCGCUGUGAAAACUCGAGGCUCAACCUCGAGACGCCGGUGGAAACCAUCAGGCUAGAGUCCGGAAGAGGAGAGUGGAAUUCCUGGUGUAGCGGUGAAAUGCGCAGAUAUCAGGAAGAACACCCGUGGCUAAGGCGGCUCUCUAGUACGGUACUGACGCUGAGGAGCGAAAGCGUGGGGAGCAAACAGG